GAGAGCUUGCUCUCGGGUGACGAGUGGCGGACGGGUGAGUAAUGUCUGGGAAACUGCCUGAUGGAGGGGGAUAACUACUGGAAACGGUAGCUAAUACCGCAUAACGUCGCAAGACCAAAGAGGGGGACCUUCGGGCCUCUUGCCAUCAGAUGUGCCCAGAUGGGAUUAGCUAGUAGGUGGGGUAACGGCUCACCUAGGCGACGAUCCCUAGCUGGUCUGAGAGGAUGACCAGCCACACUGGAACUGAGACACGGUCCAGACUCCUACGGGAGGCAGCAGUGGGGAAUAUUGCACAAUGGGCGCAAGCCUGAUGCAGCCAUGCCGCGUGUAUGAAGAAGGCCUUCGGGUUGUAAAGUACUUUCAGCGGGGAGGAAGGUGUUGUGGUUAAUAACCGCAGCAAUUGACGUUACCCGCAGAAGAAGCACCGGCUAACUCCGUGCCAGCAGCCGCGGUAAUACGGAGGGUGCAAGCGUUAAUCGGAAUUACUGGGCGUAAAGCGCACGCAGGCGGUCUGUCAAGUCGGAUGUGAAAUCCCCGGGCUCAACCUGGGAACUGCAUUCGAAACUGGCAGGCUAGAGUCUUGUAGAGGGGGGUAGAAUUCCAGGUGUAGCGGUGAAAUGCGUAGAGAUCUGGAGGAAUACCGGUGGCGAAGGCGGCCCCCUGGACAAAGACUGACGCUCAGGUGCGAAAGCGUGGGGAGCAAACAGGAU
rnacentral:rRNA from 1 species